GACGAACGUUGGCGGCGUGCUUAACACAUGCAAGUCGAACGGAAAGGCCCUGCUUUUGUGGGGUGCACGAGUGGCGAACGGGUGAGUAACACGUGAGUAACCUGCCCUUGACUUUGGGAUAACUUCAGGAAACUGGGGCUAAUACCGGAUAGGAGCUCCUGCUGCAUGGUGGGGGUUGGAAAGUUUCGGCGGUUGGGGAUGGACUCGCGGCUUAUCAGCUUGUUGGUGGGGUAGUGGCUUACCAAGGCUUUGACGGGUAGCCGGCCUGAGAGGGUGACCGGCCACAUUGGGACUGAGAUACGGCCCAGACUCCUACGGGAGGCAGCAGUGGGGAAUAUUGCACAAUGGGCGGAAGCCUGAUGCAGCAACGCCGCGUGCGGGAUGACGGCCUUCGGGUUGUAAACCGCUUUCGCCUGUGACGAAGCGUGAGUGACGGUAAUGGGUAAAGAAGCACCGGCUAACUACGUGCCAGCAGCCGCGGUGAUACGUAGGGUGCGAGCGUUGUCCGGAUUUAUUGGGCGUAAAGGGCUCGUAGGUGGUUGAUCGCGUCGGAAGUGUAAUCUUGGGGCUUAACCCCUGAGCGUGCUUUCGAUACGGGUUGACUUGAGGAAAGUAGGGGAGAAUGGAAUUCCUGGUGGAGCGGUGGAAUGCGCAGAUAUCAGGAGGAACACCAGUGGCGAAGGCGGUUCUCUGGGCCUUUCCUGACGCUGAGGAGCGAAAGCGUGGGGAGCGAACAGGCUUAGAUACCCUGGUAGUCCACGCUGUAAACGGUGGGUACUAGGUGUGGGGUCCAUUCCACGGGUUCCGUGCCGUAGCUAACGCUUUAAGUACCCCGCCUGGGGAGUACGGCCGCAAGGCUAAAACUCAAAGGAAUUGACGGGGCCCCGCACAAGCGGCGGAGCAUGCGGAUUAAUUCGAUGCAACGCGUAGAACCUUACCUGGGUUUGACAUGGAUCGGGAGUGCCCAGAGAUGGGUGUGCCUCUUUUGGGGUCGGUUCACAGGUGGUGCAUGGCUGUCGUCAGCUCGUGUCGUGAGAUGUUGGGUUAAGUCCCGCAACGAGCGCAACCCUUGUUCACUGUUGCCAGCACGUUAUGGUGGGGACUCAGUGGAGACCGCCGGGGUCAACUCGGAGGAAGGUGGGGAUGACGUCAAGUCAUCAUGCCCCUUAUGUCCAGGGCUUCACGCAUGCUACAAUGGCUGGUACAGAGAGUGGCGAGCCUGUGAGGGUGAGCGAAUCUCGGAAAGCCGGUCUCAGUUCGGAUUGGGGUCUGCAACUCGACCUCAUGAAGUCGGAGUCGCUAGUAAUCGCAGAUCAGCAACGCUGCGGUGAAUACGUUCCCGGG
rnacentral:rRNA from 1 species